rnacentral:rRNA from 1 species
UACGGGGGGGGCAAGCGUUGUUCGGAAUUACUGGGCGUAAAGGGCUCGUAGGCGGCCUGCUAAGUCGGACGUGAAAUCCCUCGGCUCAACCGAGGAACUGCGUCCGAUACUGGUGGGCUUGAAUCCGGGAGAGGGAUGUGGAAUUCCAGGUGUAGCGGUGAAAUGCGUAGAUAUCUGGAGGAACACCGGUGGCGAAGGCGGCAUCCUGGACCGGUAUUGACGCUGAGGCGCGAAAGCUAGGGGAGCAAACAGG